CAAGCUGUGGAAUAAGUUUGCCAAAAUCUAUGGAGAGAUGAGAUUAGCAAAGAUGAAACUUGCUUUGAGAUCUUCUUGGAAUUGAUGAAGCAGUUUGGACUUCUGUCUGGAAAUAUUAUGUUUGCCUAUCGAUCAAGAGGAUGGGACAAGUAUGGCAACAAGUGAACCAAAUCCAUUAGUUUGUAUGCAGGAUAUUGCAAUUGAUUGCGGAAGAGAUUGGCAAGGACUGGAAUUCAUUUGGCGGCAUCAUUGGUCUAAAAUGGACAGAAUUGAGAUGGACUUUCCAGCAACUGUGGACGCAAGUCUGGAAAUGCUGGUCAAGUAGCAAGAAAGUAAACCACCUUGGAGAGAUAGGCUGUUACUAAAGAACUCUGGGAGUACUAUCCUAAACAAAAAGUAAUGAAAGAACAUUUGUAGGUAGACAUUGGUACCGGAAUUUUGAAAGACAAUUAUACAGUGAUUAAGCCUGGGGCUAGUUUCCCACACUCCCUUCAGUGAGAGCAUGACCCCACCACUGGGAUUAUGACUCUCAAUGUGAUAUCUUUUAAGAAUUAAGAAGAUUAAUUGAAAUGUUUGAGGGCGUUGUUUAGUAUACCUAGAUCGAAUGUAAAUUUAGUCGGAUAAAGAUUGUGGACAAUGCUACAUAUUUUAUAUUUAAAACAAUACGGAAUUCCAAAUCAUUCCAGUAGGAUGCAGUAUUUUUUCAAUACAUAACAAUUUUUAUUCAAAAACUAAAGCUCAACUGAAUACAAUUCACUGUACAGUUUCAAAUUCCACAAUGAAUAAUGAAAAAGAAGCAUUUAAAAAGGCUACACAAUAGUAGGCAUGGCCCGUAUACCUGGGCUGGGAUGGUUGCAUAUGCAGCUCCCUAAUAAAAAAAAAAAUUGGUCGGUAUUUUUAAGGCAGUUAAAAAUAUACUGAGUUGAAAAAAAAAUAACCAGUAAUCUUAUCAGAAUCCGACAACACCCUACAAUACCAAAGCUGUGAUUCAACUGGCUCUUCCCCUUGACACUGUCAGUGUUUCUAGGCGAUACCCAUACCCCAUUUUUUUCGUUUUUGGCUAUCCUGGCUACGACACGAAAUGGUCACAUCCUCGUCCCUUGUUCAGUGAAUUAAAUUAGAAUAAAAUCAGGGGCGGAUCCAGAAGUUUUGGUUAGGGGGGGCUAUAGGUAUAUGUGUAAAGUGCCUCCAAGUGCUUGCGGAGGCUAGGUUUGGGAGGAGGUGUCUCCGUCCGAUAAGAUGGGGUUCAGAGGGGUAGCUGAACGC